AACACCACCACACGUGCAGUUGUCUGGGGAGGGUCCUCGAGGGAGCUUCGCAGACUACGUGGAGUGGGUGCUGGUUUCAUGCAGUUCAUCCCUGACCGUCGGACCACUGGAGCCUAAUGUGACAUCUGACCAGGAGCAAGAGCUGGCAACAAUGCACUCGGCGGUGGAUGAAAAAGUGGAGAGCAUGUGCGUGGAGGAAUGCCCAGCCCAUUGCACCACCGCUGAGGGUGAGCUGAGGCAGGACUCAGAGGAUUUAGAUGCAGACAUGCCCGUUUUCUUCCUGUCUGAACCAUCUGUCUGGCCCGAACUGUCAGUAUGUCCUGAACUGUCUACUCGUCUUGAAUUACCUGUCUGUUCCAUCAUGACCAUGGAGGUAGGUUCUGAACUGUUUGUCCACCCUGAACUGUCUGUCAUUCCUGUCAUGACCACGGAGGUCAUUCCCCUGUCCUCCACGCUCCCAGUGUUGGUAGUCACAAAUUGGUGUGUGUCGGCGGCAUACACCUUCCUGGAGGACCCCGUCUGUCACGACAUCCCACCCAGUCUCCCUCUCCCACCUCCUCUCCUGUGUCCUCUGUCAUUUUCUGUUCCUCUGCCGCUGCAUCCCGCCGGCCCCUCAGCUCAUCCUCAGCCUAGUAUCUGUGUUGUGGGUUCGCUGUGGGUCUGCCAGUCUCCAUUGGUGCUGUGACUGGAGGAUCCUUUGCAGGAGGAUACCCGGCAGCUCCACCAUGGCUCCUAGCUCCCUCCUCUCUGCCAUGGCGCGUCAGUCCUCCUCCCGCUUCGCCUCAUUGUUUCGUCCCUCUGGCUCUGUUGGGCUCCUUCCUCCCUCCAGCUCCACCUUGGUCCUCUGUCGCUCCGGCUCCACCAUGGCCUUCUGGAUCACCGCCUGUGCCUCGGUUGCCAGAGCCAUCUGCUCUACCUUGGCCAUCAGGAUCCUCCCCAUCGCCCUGGCUCUGCGGCUCUCCGUCUCCACCCUGGGCUCCUCUCCCACCUGCUCUGCCUCCGUCAGUCGGCUCCCUGGUGUUGUCAGCCCUUCCUUCACCAUGGCUGCUCCC
ensembl:lncRNA